rnacentral:sRNA from 1 species
CUUGUCUGCUUUCUUGGACGUUUCCUCCCUAGACUUGGGCCGCAGUUCGCUGCGGCCCCUUUUUUUGUGACCG